UUAAGCGACUAAGCGUACACGGUGGAUGCCCUGGCAGUCAGAGGCGAUGAAGGACGUGCUAAUCUGCGAUAAGCGUCGGUAAGGUGAUAUGAACCGUUAUAACCGGCGAUUUCCGAAUGGGGAAACCCAGUGUGUUUCGACACACUAUCAUUAACUGAAUCCAUAGGUUAAUGAGGCGAACCGGGGGAACUGAAACAUCUAAGUACCCCGAGGAAAAGAAAUCAACCGAGAUUCCCCCAGUAGCGGCGAGCGAACGGGGAGCAGCCCAGAGCCUGAAUCAGUGUGUGUGUUAGUGGAAGCGUCUGGAAAGGCGCGCGAUACAGGGUGACAGCCCCGUACACAAAAAUGCACAUGCUGUGAGCUCGAUGAGUAGGGCGGGACACGUGGUAUCCUGUCUGAAUAUGGGGGGACCAUCCUCCAAGGCUAAAUACUCCUGACUGACCGAUAGUGAACCAGUACCGUGAGGGAAAGGCGAAAAGAACCCCGGCGAGGGGAGUGAAAAAGAACCUGAAACCGUGUACGUACAAGCAGUGGGAGCACGCUUAGGCGUGUGACUGCGUACCUUUUGUAUAAUGGGUCAGCGACUUAUAUUCUGUAGCAAGGUUAACCGAAUAGGGGAGCCGAAGGGAAACCGAGUCUUAACUGGGCGUUAAGUUGCAGGGUAUAGACCCGAAACCCGGUGAUCUAGCCAUGGGCAGGUUGAAGGUUGGGUAACACUAACUGGAGGACCGAACCGACUAAUGUUGAAAAAUUAGCGGAUGACUUGUGGCUGGGGGUGAAAGGCCAAUCAAACCGGGAGAUAGCUGGUUCUCCCCGAAAGCUAUUUAGGUAGCGCCUCGUGAAUUCAUCUCCGGGGGUAGAGCACUGUUUCGGCAAGGGGGUCAUCCCGACUUACCAACCCGAUGCAAACUGCGAAUACCGGAGAAUGUUAUCACGGGAGACACACGGCGGGUGCUAACGUCCGUCGUGAAGAGGGAAACAACCCAGACCGCCAGCUAAGGUCCCAAAGUCAUGGUUAAGUGGGAAACGAUGUGGGAAGGCCCAGACAGCCAGGAUGUUGGCUUAGAAGCAGCCAUCAUUUAAAGAAAGCGUAAUAGCUCACUGGUCGAGUCGGCCUGCGCGGAAGAUGUAACGGGGCUAAACCAUGCACCGAAGCUGCGGCAGCGACGCUUAUGCGUUGUUGGGUAGGGGAGCGUUCUGUAAGCCUGUGAAGGUGUACUGUGAGGUAUGCUGGAGGUAUCAGAAGUGCGAAUGCUGACAUAAGUAACGAUAAAGCGGGUGAAAAGCCCGCUCGCCGGAAGACCAAGGGUUCCUGUCCAACGUUAAUCGGGGCAGGGUGAGUCGACCCCUAAGGCGAGGCCGAAAGGCGUAGUCGAUGGGAAACAGGUUAAUAUUCCUGUACUUGGUGUUACUGCGAAGGGGGGACGGAGAAGGCUAUGUUGGCCGGGCGACGGUUGUCCCGGUUUAAGCGUGUAGGCUGGUUUUCCAGGCAAAUCCGGAAAAUCAAGGCUGAGGCGUGAUGACGAGGCACUACGGUGCUGAAGCAACAAAUGCCCUGCUUCCAGGAAAAGCCUCUAAGCAUCAGGUAACAUCAAAUCGUACCCCAAACCGACACAGGUGGUCAGGUAGAGAAUACCAAGGCGCUUGAGAGAACUCGGGUGAAGGAACUAGGCAAAAUGGUGCCGUAACUUCGGGAGAAGGCACGCUGAUAUGUAGGUGAAGUCCCUCGCGGAUGGAGCUGAAAUCAGUCGAAGAUACCAGCUGGCUGCAACUGUUUAUUAAAAACACAGCACUGUGCAAACACGAAAGUGGACGUAUACGGUGUGACGCCUGCCCGGUGCCGGAAGGUUAAUUGAUGGGGUUAGCGCAAGCGAAGCUCUUGAUCGAAGCCCCGGUAAACGGCGGCCGUAACUAUAACGGUCCUAAGGUAGCGAAAUUCCUUGUCGGGUAAGUUCCGACCUGCACGAAUGGCGUAAUGAUGGCCAGGCUGUCUCCACCCGAGACUCAGUGAAAUUGAACUCGCUGUGAAGAUGCAGUGUACCCGCGGCAAGACGGAAAGACCCCGUGAACCUUUACUAUAGCUUGACACUGAACAUUGAGCCUUGAUGUGUAGGAUAGGUGGGAGGCUUUGAAGUGUGGACGCCAGUCUGCAUGGAGCCGACCUUGAAAUACCACCCUUUAAUGUUUGAUGUUCUAACGUUGACCCGUAAUCCGGGUUGCGGACAGUGUCUGGUGGGUAGUUUGACUGGGGCGGUCUCCUCCUAAAGAGUAACGGAGGAGCACGAAGGUUGGCUAAUCCUGGUCGGACAUCAGGAGGUUAGUGCAAUGGCAUAAGCCAGCUUGACUGCGAGCGUGACGGCGCGAGCAGGUGCGAAAGCAGGUCAUAGUGAUCCGGUGGUUCUGAAUGGAAGGGCCAUCGCUCAACGGAUAAAAGGUACUCCGGGGAUAACAGGCUGAUACCGCCCAAGAGUUCAUAUCGACGGCGGUGUUUGGCACCUCGAUGUCGGCUCAUCACAUCCUGGGGCUGAAGUAGGUCCCAAGGGUAUGGCUGUUCGCCAUUUAAAGUGGUACGCGAGCUGGGUUUAGAACGUCGUGAGACAGUUCGGUCCCUAUCUGCCGUGGGCGCUGGAGAACUGAGGGGGGCUGCUCCUAGUACGAGAGGACCGGAGUGGACGCAUCACUGGUGUUCGGGUUGUCAUGCCAAUGGCACUGCCCGGUAGCUAAAUGCGGAAGAGAUAAGUGCUGAAAGCAUCUAAGCACGAAACUUGCCCCGAGAUGAGUUCUCCCUGACCCUUUAAGGGUCCUGAAGGAACGUUGAAGACGACGACGUUGAUAGGCCGGGUGUGUAAGCGCAGCGAUGCGUUGAGCUAACCGGUACUAAUGAACCGUGAGGCUUAACCU
rnacentral:rRNA from 1 species